rnacentral:ncRNA from 1 species
UGAGCCGUAUGAGGGGAAACUCUCACGUACGGUUCUUUGGGGAGGGAGCAACAGCAAUGUUGCUUUCUUACCC